GAUGAACGCUAGCGGCAGGCUUAACACAUGCAAGUCGAGGGGCAGCACGGGUAGCAAUACCUGGUGGCGACCGGCGCAAGGGUGCGUAACGCGUGAGCAACAUGCCCUAUACAGGGGGAUAAUCCAGGGAAACUUGGUCUAAUAUCCCAUAGUAUUUAGAGGAGGCAUCUUCUAUAAAUUAAAGCUUCGGUGGUAUAGGAUUGGCUCGCGUGACAUUAGCUAGAUGGUGAGGUAACGGCUCACCAUGGCAAUGAUGUCUAGGGGUUCUGAGAGGAAGGCCCCCACACUGGGACUGAGACACGGCCCAGACUCCUACGGGAGGCAGCAGGUGAGGAAUAUUGGACAAUGGAUGGAAAUCUGAUCCAGCCAUGCCGCGUGCAGGAAGCAGCCCUAUGGGUUGUAAACUGCUUUUAUAUGGGAGCAAUAAGGUCUACGUGUAGACUGAUGAGAGUACCAUAUGAAUAAGC
rnacentral:rRNA from 1 species